GGUAAUGAGUUUGUAUUAUGACUCAAUAGCAUCACUUUAUCACUUUAACACAGAUGGAGGCCUAAAUAACCAUAGGGUAAUGGUUCUUCUUAGAUGCAGAAGGACACAUUUAUAUAAUCUUAGGGACCCCAUCUCUGAGGUCACUCAUAAUUUAUAUUAAUUCAUUGUUAUUGCCAUUGCCCCAAGAAUAGAUAAGGAUAAGACAUCCUGUAGUACAGGUAGCAGAGAUAUAAACUAUUCUUAUUCUUGUGUCUUGUCUAUAGGAAGGGAGUGUAUCCUGGUGUAAGACAGCAUAUAGUAGAGACCAUUGUCAAUUAGGGCCUGUGAACUAAGACAGGGUGACUGGCUAAGUCCACAACCCAUUAGAAACCCAGAAAUAAUCAAAUCAUGAGGGAUCAUGGAAAGGAAGCUGAAUUUGCCAAGUUUUGCCACUUGGGCAUUGCAUGCCUAUGUGAUUAACCACCAAUAAAAACCUGGGACAUCAAAGAAUAAAUA
rnacentral:lncRNA from 10 species